rnacentral:lncRNA from 1 species
GCUUAAUGGCAGUUUGUGAUUUGCUGUGUACUCAGUCUUGAACGUACAAUGAAAGGAGAACAUGAGCUAUUAUAUUAGCCUUUUGAAAGAUUUCUAACUCUGUUAAUCAAAUUGUUUUAUCCAAAGAUUUGAAUGUCAUUGUUUUGUUUUGUUUUGUUUUUUAGUUUUGGUGUUUUUUUAGUUUUUUUUUUUAAUUUUAAUUUUUAUUUUUACCAGGUUGAUAUGAAGGUUAUAGUCUGGAGCAGAGAAGUGGUGGAAGAUUCCCACCAAAAGUGUGAGCAAUGAGCCUUUUCAACUUGGGGAAGAGAACUGUGGGGAAAAAUGCGAAACAUGAAAGAGAGAGAAGAGCUUUCAUCCUCAGUACAAGAAACAGACUCAGGAAACUCCCGAGGCUAAGUAAAACUGAAAUGGAGGUAUCAGCAAUCAGACUACAAAUUGUAUGAAAUCAUGGAUCAGCUAAGAAAAAAAUAAGUACUAAAACAUAACCGUUCUGGUCAUUUCUUAUUUCUUUCAGAACUGUUUUCAGAUUCUUAAUCAAGAAAAGAAGCCUUUACUUCAUUAGGUUGAAAGUUUUGUUCUUAAGACAGGCUGAUGUUUAAAGUUCAUUAACAAGAUAAUGGCAAGUCAGUAUUAAGUAAGGAAUUCAUGUAAAGGCACCCAAAACAAGCUGGGUAGCAUCAGGAACUUCUGUGUGAACCCAACUAAUCUACAAAAAUGGUUUUCUGUACUGGGUUUUUGUAUGCUAGGGAAAGGAGGAGAAGCUUCCAAAGCUGUUUCAAGAAGAGCAGUCAAUAAGGAGGCAGACCACGAUGUUGUACUUCUUCACAGUGGAAUGUGUGUAUUCUAAAACCUAUAAAGCAAAAAAGCAAAGUGCAGUCAGAUUUGCCUCCUCUGGAAACUCUGCCAGAGAACCUGGUGACUUCCAGCAUAUUGCAAACAGAAUCUGAGCAGGCUUUAGGGUAAAGAUAGACACAUUUAUUUCCUUUGUAAUGUGCAGUUAAUUUAUCCCAUCUUUAUUGCCCUUGCUGGUGAAAUAGAUCCUGUACCGAAGUUUUUGUAACCUGCUACAAGAAUGCAGCAAAAGAAGUAAGGUGACACAGGCGAAAUUCCGUCCAGAGUAUAUUUGACGUACUAAACAACCAAUUGCAUGCAUCAUGAAAUGUUAUUUGCCUUCUUCUCAGCAGAAUAGUUUAACCACAGUACAGUGUUAAUAAUAGGACUCAAAACAUUGAUUGUGUAAGGUGAUUACUGGCCACACACUCCUGAUACUUAAGCAGUGAUCUGAAAACUAGGUUUCUCCACUUAAAGUAGAAUAUUUGAAGUAUUCACUUCCAAUUCCAUUGUGAAUAUGGAACAAAAAAUGUUGAAGAAAUUAAAGCAGCG